UCUGAACUCUGGAUCUUCACUGACCAAGGACAGCAACUGUGAGCGGGAUGUAGUGGAAGGAGAGGGGAGUGGUGUGUUAAAGAAAUAUUUGUUUGUUGGACUUCCACAGCGCAAGGUGAGAAACUGAGUCAAAGGACACUGCCCAGCAUACUCUGAGCUUCCCCUGGCAAGUCAGCAUGAGGAGGGAUUAUAUAGGAAUGCAACUGGGAUAGAACCUGUCAAUAUGCUCCACAAAGUGGGCAUGGUCUAAUGGGAGAAUUUUGUGUCCACAAAAGAGGUAGGUUGAUGACAGCUGAAGAAGACUGUAUUUGCUGAAGAGCAGCAUGAUGGUAGAGAGGAGCGGAGUUCCUGAGGGAGAUCUAAUGGUGCCUCUCCUUCCUGCACAGAGAUAAAGACUUAUAAUAAGCGUGUAUGUUCACCAUCUGGCUCUGUGCAUGUGGUCCUUAUGGAGGCGAAAGCUGCACAAUCUGUAAAUGAUCAGGAGCCAUAGCACUCUCUCCAGAGAAUCCACGAUGCAAUCAAGGUGACAGAUGGCAUGGCCACUGCUGUGGCCUCAUGGAGAAGAUCAAAAUCACCUUCAAUAAACUCUGACUGAAAUGGGCAUGAGCACCUCAAAAAAGUCAGUUUGUCAGUCAAACUGUGACAGCAAGCUGCAUUGGGGAAACAUAGCGGCCAGCUCGCUGUUUUCAAUCGUUUCCGUCUGACUGAGCCUGAACUAUGAUCUUUCUCAAAUUGUCCUUUCUGUUUAUCUGAAGCAGGCCAGCAAAUUGCCAGAUUCAUAGCUUUAUUGAAAGAAAUUGAAAACAUGAUGUCCUCAAUUCAAGGGACAAACAACUGGCAGGUGUUUGGACACCCAAGCACAUAAAAUGGACCCCUGGUCUUUAGAACAUGUUUGUCCAACUUUUGUCAGAUUAAAUAUAGAUAUAUUAUAAAAUGUAUGUCAUAAAAUUCCAAUCUACGCAGGGUUUAGCUGACAGCAAUUACAUGACCGAAAAUAAACCUCAUAUUAUAUAUUCAAUGCUGGAUUUUUUCCCUCCUUUAUGCCACAAAUACUAUAUCUAUUGAUAAUUAGACUAAUCUUUAUUUCCCCUUUAGUUGAGUAUCUUCGUACACCAAAUUUACCUUCAUGGUCCAUCAAGUCUAAUCAGCGAGAACCUGAUUCUGCAAGAUUCUGAAUGUUCUCAACUGUCAUUGAUUUCAGCAGAGGUAGAGGGUGCCCAGUACCUCAUAGGAUCAGGCCAUACGGGCCCAAUCCUUCAAAGCACUGAUCAUCACCUGAAGAGACUGAACACCCUACACUCUCAUUCGAGUUAAUGGGGGUAAAUGGUGCUCAGCACUUAGCAGGAUCUAAUAUCCUAAGUCAGCAGGAAAGAUAUGUACCAAGCCUUUUUUGUUCUCUGCAACUGCAUGAACAGUUAAGAGAUCGUGCACUGUUGCUUCCUUUAUAUCGGUGUCUUUAAAGACUUGGCCAGCUUGUAUU